CCACACCCACUAAUAACCCCGCCCAUAAGGCAGUGGGCGGUGUCCGUGCGAGUUACGUGCCCCGCGCCGCCCCCGACGGCUCCGCCCACAGCCCUGGCGCGCCUUCCUGGAAGCGCCCCACGCGGACGAGCCUCUCUUCUUUCCGCAGCUGCUCCAGUGCCUUUGCUCCCCGAGCUCUUGACUUGGGCCAUCCGAGGUCACCUCUGGGCGCCUGCUGAGGCCUAUUUCCUCCUUGGAACAAGGUGGCAAAUGGUCUGUUGGAAAAAGAGCCAGCGGAGGUCUACUAGAGUUCACUGAGCGGUUAUUGAACGUCUACUGGGUGCCAGCACUGUUCCAGGCGUCGAGGGCAGGUGGAAAACCCGAGGCUCCCGCGAGAAAGCAGCCUGCUAAAUAAACAGGGUAGGCAGGCGGGGAGGAUUGGACCUCAGGCUUCUUGAGCCCACCUUACCUUCAAGCAACCAUAGGGCUCCCUCAGGUGGUCAGAAGAGAGCCUGCUGACCAAGGAGCCGGAAGGAUGCUUCCCAGUGAUCCAGAAAGUAGCUAAGAAGAUGGGAUGCCCCGGCCUGGCAGUGGGGUGUGGAAUUGUACUGACCUCUGGAGCCUCAAAUGCCAUGUGUAGAAAUCAGGUAUAAAGAGUCUUUCUGAAAGUUGGGUGCACAAGACAGAGUACAUACCAGUUUGGCCCAGCCUCUAGCACACAGUAGGAAGCAGCAAUACCUACAAAAAGAAUCAGCUGUUUGCUGCUCAGAGGCUAAAAUCGGGGAAGACAACCGAGGCCGGAAGUAAAUCCGAGAUCCAGUGCGGCAUUAGUGUGCGGAUAUUUUUAUCCAGACACCCGUCCAUCUGUCUUGUGUCCAUUCUGAGCUGGUGAGUCUAUCAGACUCCUUUUAGAAGUCCUGAGUCAGGACUGACCACACCAAGUUCAGGGAGGAAGUUGGGUUUCUCGGCUCCCUUGAAGAGAUCUCAAAUCCAUUUCUUUUUCUUUUCUUUUCUUCUUCUUCUUUUUUUUUUUUAGUUGGUGUCUCUUGCCUUCAGCUGCUGUUGCCAAAUUCCCCUUGCCUCCUCCAGUCUGGAGCUGGGCCAUUUCCAGGAUCAUUCUUUUGUAUAAUUAAAAAGAAAAAUAGAACGGUUGAUGUUGCCAAACACGUAUUUAAAGUGACACUCUGAACCGAGGGAGUGAAAAAUCAAAACAUUCUAAGGUUUAGAUUAAAAGUCUCCAUCCUCGGCAGUCCCUGACCCUGGGAUUUCUCUGGAGCCUGGCUGCCUUUAAUCCUUUGCCCUGGCUCAUAAAAACCCUUUGGACUAAGGGUAUUUAUUUCUCAGAGAACUAUUCCAGGCUAAUCACAUAAAAAUACCCUGCUUCCCAGGAACACCCUGUCUAGUGCAUGUCCUGGGAACAGUGGAGUAUUCGGAAACAGUCACCUGAGGAGACACCCAAGUCCUCCUUCCUUCACUUCAUCCUUCCUUCAUGUAUCCGUUCCACUAGAAAAGUCUACCAGGCAAUUGCGGUCCUCAACAUUUCCUUAGGAUCAGAGCUCUUCCCUCCAGCUCUCUCGUGUCCAUGGUAUCUAAGGGACUGUCAGGAUUCACUCGGAUGUCAGUGGUCACUUGGUCACUUGACCAACUCUUCGUGGCUCUUUUCGAUUAUCCUAGAACCCACUCUGUAAGAGCAAUCGGAAAACCUUUCUAAAAGGAACAACUUGCCAGGAGUAGCACCACACUCAUUUAAUUCCAGCACUUGGCGGGGCUCUGUGAGUUCGAGGCCAGCCAGGAAGGGAUUUGUUGGCCAGCCAACUGAUUGUGUCCUUUCCAUGGUGCUUAGUGUAUAAAUUGACUUUUAUUUAUUGACUUUUCUGCGUACUGAGAAGUCAGAAUGAAGCUGCAGGGUUAAAGUAACUAAAGAUUUGGCUCGUUCUGGAGGCUCUCGAUGAGGGAAAUCCUUUUCCUUCCCUCUUUCGCCUUCUGGUGGAUUCCCAUAGUCCUCGGCUUGUGGACUCUCCCCCCUUCAGUGUUCAAAGCACUCACUGAUCUUGCUUUCCAUUGCUUUUUCUGCCUCUCCUGACUACUUCCUGACCAGAUACUUACGAUCACUUUGGCCUCACCUGGACAGUCUUCCCAUUUCAAGAGCUUCGAUUUCUAUCACUUCUGGAAAGCCUUUCCCAGCUAAGAGACUAUGGUCACAGCUCAUGAGCCCACGCCCCAUCCUCCGGAAUGUCUUUCUGAAGCUUGACCUUCGAAGGCUGGGCUAGCCCCAAACUCACAGAGACCUCUGAUUAAAGGCUGUCCGUGCCUCAUUCAUCCGGCAAGAGGGCAGCAGCUGGGCCCCAAACCUGGUGCUGUUGGCAGCGAGCCAAAAGCUGUCUGCCCUUCAUUUGGCCUCACUUUCCUUGCUCUGAAGGAUUUAACUCUUCCCCAUUAUAACCCCUUACCUGGACUGGCGGAAUUAAAAAAAAAAAAAAAAAAGGAGGCAGUCUCUUCUCUGUGUGAGCGCUGUGUGCACGUGUGCGGGCUUCCAAGCGGAGGCCAUAAGUUGGUGGCAUUUGUCUCCCCAGAUCCCUGUUCUCUACAUUUACAGAGGCAGGGUUUCUCGAUGAACCUGGAGCUUCUAAUUUGGCUUGGCUAGCUAGCUAGCUUGUCCUGGGGAUCUAGUUUCUGCAAAUGCCGGGGUUUCAGGAAGUCCAACAGAGCAGCAAGGCUUUUUGUGUGGGCACUGGGAAUACAAACUCUGGGCCUUGUGCUUGCAAGGCAGAGUGCCUUAUCAGCCGUGCCAUCUGCCCAGGCUGGGAAAUUAAAAAUUUUAAUGAGGGCUAAUACAUUAGGUAUACAGAGAAGUGACUAUGAAUCAAAUCCUCACCAGCCACAAAGCUUUAGCACCAUAUGAACGUGUCCCCCCUACCCCCCCCAGAGGUACUAGGGACAGCCAUGUGUUUUACCAGAGUCAUGUCCUUCCCUGCCUGGAGAAGAGGUUGCUCAGACUGCCAUGGGUUUCCUCUCCCUCUCCCUGUCCUCUCUCUCUACUCCCUCUCCCUCCCCCCUCUAGUAGCCAGGGCUACCCUAAGACCCUACCUCGUUUGUUUUCCAAGACCAGGGUUUCUCAUUGUAACCCUGGC
rnacentral:sRNA from 1 species